CGGUGUUUAACUGGCGUGAUGUGGGACGUCCUACCGGUGGGCUUAGCCUCGCGAGGGGCGGCCCAACUAAUAUCCCGUCGCGGUGCUCUUUACUGAGUGUCGAGUCGGGCCGGUACGUUUACUUUGAACAAAUUAGAGUGCUUAAAGCAGGCUAUCCUCGCCUGAAUACUGCGUGCAUGGAAUAAUGGAAUAGGACCUCGGUUCUAUUUUGUUGGUUUUCGGAACCCCGAGGUAAUGAUUAAUAGGGACAGAUGGGGGCAUUCGUAUUGCGACGUUAGAGGUGAAAUUCUUGGAUCGCCGCAAGACGGACAGAAGCGAAAGCAUUUGCCAAAAAUGUUUUCAUUAAUCAAGAACGAAAGUUAGAGGUUCGAAGGCGAUCAGAUACCGCCCUAGUUCUAACCAUAAACGAUGCCAGCUAGCGAUCCGCCGAAGUUCCUCCGAUGACUCGGCGGGCAGCUUCCGGGAAACCAAAGCUUUUGGGUUCCGGGGGAAGUAUGGUUGCAAAGCUGAAACUUAAAGGAAUUGACGGAAGGGCACCACCAGGAGUGGAGCCUGCGGCUUAAUUUGACUCAACACGGGAAACCUCACCAGGCCCAGACACCGGAAGGAUUGACAGAUUGAUAGCUCUUUCUUGAUUCGGUGGGUGGUGGUGCAUGGGCCGUUCUUAGUUGGUGGAGCGAUUUGUCUGGUUAAUUCCGAUAACGAACGAGACUCUAGCCUGCUAAAUAGGCGUACCUUAUGGUAUCGCGAAGGCCCCCGGCUUCGGCCGGUGGGUUUUUACUACCAACGUACAAACAAAUCUUCUUAGAGGGACAGGCGG
rnacentral:rRNA from 1 species